GAGAUCUCCAACGGUCGAAAGAAGGAUACGGGAUCUCAUGUGAUCAUAAUCCUCGUCUCUCUUCCCACAGGCGACCGACAUUGCUCUUCACCUCUCCCUUGCUACGCCUCUUCUUCUUCUUCAGAUCGACAACAACUUACUCGAUGAUUAGGCAUUGUGCUGUGUUGUAUUGAUUUUGUUCUCACGGCUCUAAGAAAUUGGUUCUUUAUUUCAAAGUCCCAAGUAAAUGCACCUAUGUAGCAGAACCCACUGUUGCUGCUGUCGUCAAGCCAAAAGGUUGAACCCACUGUUGCUGCUGUUGUUAAGUCUAAGCCAAAAGAGGUUGGACCUGCUGUUGCCGCUAUCAUUGAGCCAUCGCUUUCCAGGUGACUACAAGAGUUCAUGAAAUGGGCAAAAACCAAUGCAAAUUAAGGUUUCUUCUAUAUGCAUUUUGCUCUGCAUGAGAAUGGAGGUCAUCUUGAGCUAGGAUUUGGUCAGGCUAUUGUGGAUCAAAUGGAUGGACCAACGCCACAAUGUCUAUAGAUGAUGUUAGCUAUCGUUUAUGGUGCAAUUAUGAAGGCCGGGAAAGUGGGAAACAAAGUAGCGGCUUUUUAUAUUUCAAAAUUGAAAGGAAAAAUAAAUUAUUGUGAGAAUCCUUCCUUGAUCAGUUUUAGCCUCCCCAAAACUCACAAGCUAAAUAGUAGAUUUUUAUAUUUCAAAUCACAUGUCUUUGAUUUAUUGAUAAAAAAACAAUAUGAAAAACAUGAAUUCCUGUGUAUACGAUUAAUGGUUUUGUCUUAUUUCCAUGGUUUAUUUAUGU